rnacentral:lncRNA from 1 species
UAGAAUUCAAAUUUCCAGGCCUUUUUACUCCUUCCUUUCAUGUUUCAAGGAGCUGCUGCCCACAUGGGAUGGCAAUAUGCUGUCACCAUCAGUGCACCUGCACGGAGGACAGAAGAAGAGCAGCUCCCUUCUGUGAGUCACCGUGCUCCCAUCUGAAACAUUGGGUAAUAUUAGCAAGGAGUCUCCCAUCCCAUCAGUGUCAUGAUGUGAUCAACCACUGCCUUCACUCCUUCCUUGCUGCAGCCCUCUCAGAGCUAUGGGUGGCCUUUUUGGAGCUGACACUCUUCUGAGGGCCAGGCUGAUGUGACACAGCUUGAGCUGACUGAACAGU